rnacentral:rRNA from 1 species
AUUGAACGCUGGCGGCAGGCCUAACACAUGCAAGUCGAGCGGAGCGGCGGACGGGUGAGUAAUGCCUAGGAAUCUGCCUGGUAGUGGGGGAUAACGUCCGGAAACGGGCGCUAAUACCGCAUACUAUCAGAUGAGCCUAGGUCGGAUUAGCUAGGUGGUGGGGUAAAGUACUACCAAGGCGACGCUCCGUAACUGGUAUGAGAGGAUGAUCAGUCACACUGGAACGGAGAAACGGUCCAGACUCCUACGGGAGGAAGCAGUGGUGAAUAUGGGACAAUGGGCGAAAGCCUGAUCCAGCCAUGCCGCGUGUGUGAAGAAGGUCGUCGGAUUGUAAAGUACUUGAAGUUGGGAGGCGUUACCAACAGAAUAAGCACCGGCUAACUUCGGGCCAGCAGCCGCGGUAAUUC